CCUGGUGGCCAUUGCGGGGACCAUAACACCCGAUCCCAUCCCGAACUCGGAAGUGAAACGCCCCAGCGCCAAUGGUACUGCGUCUUAAGACGUGGGAGAGUCGGUCGCCGCCAGGC
rfam:Stappia sp. ES.058 genome assembly, chromosome: I